rnacentral:rRNA from 1 species
AGCAUGUGGUUUAAUUCGACGCAACGCGAAGAACCUUACCUGGGCUUGACAUCCCGAUCGCACCUUAUGGAAACAUAGGGGUCAGUUCGGCUGGAUCGGUGACAGGUGCUGCAUGGCUGUCGUCAGCUCGUGUCGUGAGAUGUUGGGUUAAGUCCCGCAACGAGCGCAACCCUUGUCCUUAGUUGCCAGCAUUCAGUUGGGCACUCUAAGGAGACUGCCGGUGUCAAACCGGAGGAAGGUGGGGAUGACGUCAAGUCCUCAUGGCCCUUAUGUCCAGGGCUACACACGUGCUACAAUGGCCGGUACAAAGGGGCGCAAGACCGCGAGGUGGAGCAAAUCCCAAAAAACCGGUCUCAGUUCGGAUUGGAGUCUGCAACUCGACUCCAUGAAGUUGGAAUCGCUAGUAAUCGCGUAUCAGCAUGACGCGGUGAAUACGUUCCCGGACCUU